CCGGUCUGCCACCGUCAGCGUCCUCCUCCAACAUCGGCUGCAUCAAAGGUGGGGGGCUCUCCUUCCUCUCCAUCUCCUUAUAUCUGACUAAUUUUUUGGGUUAGCUUGAGAUGGAAGCUCUGUUCAUGUCUUUCUCUCUCACGGUUUACCUACAAUCCUUUAACUCAAGCACUGUCAUCAAGCAUCUGCCGAGAUAGGAUGGGUCGUGCUCAUCUCUCCGAUCUGGUUGGUUUUGAUUGUAAACACUAGAUGUGAAAAAAAUCAUUUCCAUUUAUUAUUAUUCUUGAAGGAGAAUGAAUCAACAGAUAAAACUUACCAUGUACUACUUGCAUAUCUCUCACACACACACAUUAGUGUGAAUCAUAUUGGUAUUUUUAUUGCUUUCUUUUGAUUGAUUUGUAGAAUCAGAGCAUCUGACACAGUGUAGUCCAUCUUGAGUAUGUUCUUUCCUUGCAGUAUUAUUUCACGGUGACAUGAGAUCGAUCUAAUACACUAGCAGUACCAUUGUGUGUCUGAGAUCGUCGUUCUUCUACUGCAGGUGUUCAAAACAGAAGGUUUCGUUUGAUUGCUACUCGGCAUCAAGAGGCACAUGCAUUGCAUCCAACAGAAGGAGGCAAGGAGCUCUAAUUAUUGUUCAUCUGAUGUUUUUUGUUUGUUUGUUUGGUGAUAGGCGCUGGAAUGGUAACUGAUGUUCAGUUUCAAGCAUGUGCAUGUAUAAUUACAAUCAAACGAUCUUCGAUUUAAGGCUAAGCACUUUGGAUAUUAUGUGUUCAAACCUAUAGCAUCUCUUGACAGAUGUAAGAAUAUUUCUUUUCUGUCAUUACAGUAUCACUAUAUGAUUG
rnacentral:lncRNA from 1 species